rnacentral:rRNA from 1 species
UGGGGAAUAUUGCACAAUGGGGGGAACCCUGAUGCAGCCACCCCCCGUGAGGGAAGAAGGUUUUCGGAUUGUAAACCUCUGUCUUGUGGGACGAUAAUGACCGUACCCCAGGAGGAAGCCAUGGCUAACUACGUGCCAGCAGCCGCGGUAAUACGUAGAUGGCGAGCGUUGUCCGGAAUUACUGGGUGUAAAGGGAGUGUAGGCGGGAUCAUAAGUUGCGUGUGAAAUGCAGGGGCUCAACCCCUGAACUGCGCGCAAAACUGUGGUUCUUGAGUGAAGUAGAGGCAGGCGGAAUUCCCGGUGUAGCGGUGGAAUGCGUAGAUAUCGGGAGGAACACCAGUGGCGAAGGCGGCCUGCUGGGCUUUUACUGACGCUGAGGCUCGAAAGCAUGGGGAGCAAACAGGAUUAGAUACCCUGGUAGUCCAUGCCGUAAACGAUGAUUACUAGGUGUGGGGGGAUAACCCCCUCCGUGCCGGAGUUAACACAAUAAGUAAUCCACCUGGGGAGUACGACCGCAAGGUUGAAACUCAAAGGAAUUGACGGGGGCCCGCACAAGCAGUGGAGUAUGUGGUUUAAUUCGAAGCAACGCGAAAAACCUUACCAGGUCUUGACAUCUAUCGCUAUCCCAAGAGAUUGGGAGUUCCCUUCGGGGACGGUAAGACAGGUGGUGCAUGGUUGUCGUCAGCUCGUGUCGUGAGAUGUUGGGUUAAGUCCCGCAACGAGCGCAACCCUUACUGUUAGUUGCUACGCAAGAGCACUCUAACGGGACUGCCGUUGACAAAACGGAGGAAGGUGGGGAUGACGUCAAAUCAUCAUGCCCUUUAUGACCUGGGCUACACACGUACUACAAUGGCCGCAAACAACGAGCAGCGAAACCGCGAGGUGGAGCGAAUCUAUAAAAGCGGUCUCAGUUCGGAUUGCAGGCUGCAACUCGCCUGCAUGAAGUCGGAAUUGCUAGUAAUCGCGGAUCAGCAUGCCGCGGUGAAUACGUUCCC